AUUGAACGCUGGCGGCAUGCUUUACACAUGCAAGUCGAACGGUAACAGGCCGCAAGGUGCUGACGAGUGGCGCACGGGUGAGUAAUGCAUCGGAACGUGCCCAGUCGUGGGGGAUAACUACUCGAAAGAGUAGCUAAUACCGCAUACGAUCUAUGGAUGAAAGCGGGGGACCGUAAGGCCUCGCGCGAUUGGAGCGGCCGAUGUCAGAUUAGGUAGUUGGUGGGGUAAAGGCUCACCAAGCCAACGAUCUGCAGCUGGUCUGAGAGGACGACCCGCCACACUGGGACUGAGACACGGCCCAGACUCCUACGGGAGGCCGCAGUGGGGAAUUUUGGACAAUGGGCGCAAGCCUGAUCCAGCAAUGCCGCGUGCAGGAAGAAGGCCUUCGGGUUGUAAACUGCUUUUGUACGGAACGAAACGGCUCUGGUUAAUACCCGGGGCUAAUGACGGUACCGUAAGAAUAAGCACCGGCUAACUACGUG
rnacentral:rRNA from 1 species